CCUACGGGAGGCAGCAGUGGGGAAUAUUGGACAAUGGGCGCAAACCUGAUCCAGCAAUGCCGCGUGGGUGAAGAAGGUCUUCGGAUUGUAAAGCCCUUUCGGCGGGGACGAUGAUGACGGUACCCGCAGAAGAAGCCCCGGCUAACUACGUGCCAGCAGCCGCGGUAAU
rnacentral:rRNA from 1 species